UACGUAGGGGGCAAGCGUUGUCCGGAAUCAUUGGGCGUAAAGCGCACGUAGGCGGAUGUGUCAGUCAGGGGUGAAAUCCCGGAGCUCAACUUCGGAACUGCCCUUGAUACAGCACGUCUUGAGUCCGAUAGAGGUGGGUGGAAUUCCUAGUGUAGAGGUGAAAUUCGUAGAUAUUAGGAAGAACACCAGUGGCGAAGGCGGCUCACUGGCCCGGUACUGACGCUGAGGUGCGAAAGCUAGGGUAGCAAACGGG
rnacentral:rRNA from 1 species